GCGUUGAAACACCGGUUCUCUUCCGAUCACAGAAGUUCAGCAAUAUUGGACUUAGUCAGUAGCUAGAUGGGUGACUCCUAGGGAAUACUA